rnacentral:lncRNA from 10 species
CGGGGACUGGGACCAGCCGAGCGCGCGCGGGAGUCGAGACGCCCGGCCCGUGCGCGCGACUGGGAGGAGGGAGGAGGGGACAGUCACGUGGGACAGGGGCGUCCGAAGGUGCCGGCUCGGAUGGGCUCGGCUCGGCCGCCGCCACACCGCCCGGGCCUCCCGGGCCUCCCCGGCCUCCCGCCCUCGCGCCCCUCGGGAGGCUGUAGUCCUGCCCCCGGCGCGGCCAGCCCGCGCUCCCGCACACCCCGCCCGCUCGCCCGCGCGUGUGUACGUGCGCCGGAGGCCUGGAGAGACCGGAGUUUAACGCCCAGUCUUCUUCCUAAGUUGGAGAAAUGGGAAACGAUUUGAAAGCUGCCAACCGGAGGUGAAAAUCUUGCCACUUGUGAAACUGAAGGAACAUCCCCAAGGCCUGGCUUCUCCUUUUAACAGAAGCUUUCUUUCAGGGUCCCCCUCCUGGAUGUGGCAGGCCUCCCAGAUUCCCCUGGAAGUUCUGACUUGCCCAUACACACAAGGACCUCAGGAAACCCAAUAGUGACUUUCCUCAGAUCUGUGAAUUCCUUCUUCUGGAAAAUAACCUUCUCAACAAUUGUGUAAGUUCUCAUAAUACAUCCCUGAUUCCAUUAUAUUCAUAAUGGUUCCACUUUCAUGAAAGAGUGGCUGGCAGAGCUCAAAUCCAAGACUUCUGGGUUCUUUUCACUAUUCUACAAGAAAUCCAACUUAGGUAGAUAAGAUCUUGAGACAAAUAGCUGCAUGUAAGUGAAAAACUGAAUGACAGUGUAUGAACUACUGAAGGAGAGAUUGACAUUCAAACCGGGCUCUUCAAGGACUAGCAGGAUAUCUACUAUAUGAAGGGUGAAGGAGUUUCUAUUCAGACACAAAGGGAAGAAAUGCUGAAACCCAUUAGGAAAAUUACUAGUAAUAAAAACAUCAUGUAUUGAAUUCCUGCUGUCUCUAACCAUAUUAAAAAUAGUCUUACCAUAGCUGACAAAACUUCCCUAUAAGGUAUGUAAGACACCAAUGUCCUAGUUAGGAAACUUGGCCAUGAUCGCACACCUUCUAAAUAUCAGAGUCUUGACUCAAAUAUGCCUGUGUCUGACUGUAAAGCCCUGUGAAAAAUUAUGCACAAAUGCCUCCUAGCAACAGUAUGAGUUUAAAAAAGCUAGAGUUCUCCCAUCAAGGUGCCUCUCAUUCUAUUUUCUCCCUCAUCUGCCAUCCUUCCACACACCUACCUCUCACCGUGCUCUCUGGGCAGUUAUGACUCAAGAUUGUUCGUGUCUAAUUACUGUUGCCAAGCAAACAUGAAGAAGGAAGGUUCAAGAAAUAGCAUAUUUCACAAUUUUUCUACUGUUAUUUGUUAGUCCUCAUUAGACUACUCAGAAUUUGUGUUACUGUAUAUUGGAAACAAAAUUAUGUCUAAUAAUGGAGUCCUUUAUGUUGUAAACAAGAAUAAAAAAGAAAGUAUAGAUAUUGUGGAGUAGUUUUUUUGUGGGGGGGGGGUCCUUUCUUUAAAAACCGUGUGAAUAUGUGGUUCUCAAUCAUUAUAUCCAAAACAUUUUACUAUUUUUCUUGUAAGCCUUGUAUUUUAUUAAUAUUUUUGUCAAACAAAUUAAAUGGUAAUAAUACAUCCAUUUUACAUGCCAGGCAGAACUUCUAAAUAGCAGAUAAAAGACCUGUUACCUCAUCAAGGUAAUGAAUUCCAGCCCAAACAAAGACAUUUCAAGAUUUUUUUUAGCUUCAGUAGCGUUACCUUGGGAAAAAUAGUCAGUUUUUAAGAUUUUGUGGAAAUACAGGAAAUAGUGUCUAUUUUUGCAAAUCAUUAUGGAUAUAGGAACCCCAAAUCUAUUGAUAUAGACCUGCUUUUUCCCUCCUUUUUUCAUUUAACAAAAACUUAGUCAUGGAUUUAUUGUGCAUGAAGCCUUCUUAGGUUUCUACAAAGAUCAUAAAGAAAUAUAACAGG